CUUCCUGCCUCAUUGGCCAGAAGGUGUUUUCUUCAUCAAUUAAUACUAGAAACAUAAGCACAGAAGGGCAUACCCCAUCAUGCUUUUCCAUGUCCUGUCUUCCUCAUUUUAGAACCAGAAUAUUUGUAUCAUUACUUGUUGAAAGUGGAUGAUUUGACUUUUGGUUUUAUAGGGCCCCUCAACUAACAGACCACCUUGAAUCUCAGAUGAGUCCAUAAAGGAAAAGAAUAACAUCAUAGGGAUUAAGGAAAUUCUCUUUAAUAAAAGAACGAUGCUGCCAAAACGUAUGGGAAACUGUCAUGCAAUAAAGCCUGUGACAUGGACACUUUGGCCACUUUAACUCACAGAAGAUCUUUGCUGUAAUAAUGAAUCGGACAGGAAGAUAAAUGACUACAGUUAACUUGUCAUUAGUUUUAGUCUUGCUUUUGCAAUAUCUAUCAACUCUACUGAAAUGUCAUCUUUAAUUUAAAAAUUGAAAAUAAUCCUUAAAAUGAAAUGGUCCAUAUAAGAACUAAUAGCUCAUGGAGUUCAAUUAAAUAUGUAAUGGAUAAUAUAUAUACAUAUGGCCUUGCUGUACCAAAUAGAGUGGUAUAUUUGAUUUGAUAUUUUUAGACUCUUUUGAGCAAAAAUAGCUUCUAUUUUUGCCUUCUUACUUCAGCAAUGCUAUAGGUCAUGAACUGUUUAUUCACAUGGACACUUUGGCCACUUUAACUCACAGAAGAUCUUUGCUGUAAUAAUGAAUCGGACAUGAAGAUAAAUGACUACAGUUAACUUUUCA